rnacentral:rRNA from 1 species
UACGUAGGUGGCAAGCGUUGUCCGGAUUUACUGGGCGUAAAGAGCGCGCAGGCGGUCGAAUAAGUCGAAUGUGAAAGCCCCCGGCUCAACUGGGGAGGGUCAUUCGAUACUGCUCGACUUGAAGGCAGGAGAGGGUAGUGGAAUUCCCGGUGUAGUGGUGAAAUGCGUAGAUAUCGGGAGGAACACCAGUGGCGAAGGCGACUACCUGGCCUGUUCUUGACGCUGAGGCGCGAAAGCUAGGGGAGCAAACGGG